AUCCUGGCUCAGAUUGAACGCUGGCGGCAUGCUUUACACAUGCAAGUCGAACGGUAACAGGCCGCAAGGUGCUGACGAGUGGCGAACGGGUGAGUAAUGCAUCGGAACGUGCCCAGUCGUGGGGGAUAACGCAGCGAAAGCUGCGCUAAUACCGCAUACGAUCUAUGGAUGAAAGCGGGGGACCGUAAGGCCUCGCGCGAUUGGAGCGGCCGAUGUCAGAUUAGGUAGUUGGUGGGGUAAAGGCUCACCAAGCCAACGAUCCCUAGCUGGUCUGAGAGGAUGAUCAGCCACACUGGAACUGAGACACGGUCCAGACUCCUACGGGAGGCAGCAGUGGGGAAUAUUGGACAAUGGGCGAAAGCCUGAUCCAGCCAUGCCGCGUGUGUGAAGAAGGCCUUCGGGUUGUAAAGCACUUUAAGCGGGGAAGAAGGGCUUACGGUUAAUACCUGUGAGCAUUGACGUUACCCGCAGAAUAAGCACCGGCUAACUCUGUG
rnacentral:rRNA from 1 species